CUUGGGCAUUUAGAGGAAGUAAAAGUCGUAACAAGGUUUCCGUAGGUGAACCUGCGGAAGGAUCAUCAACAAAAGGGAAAAAUGCGUGGCGGGCGCAAGCCCGUUUCACGUUCAUUCCCGAAAAUCCUGUAUUCACCCCAAGUUCCUUAAAAAUUUUAAUAAAAAACUCUGCAAAAGACCACCUAUGAUCAGGUGGCAUCUAAUGCAAAAGCGAAAACUUUCAACAACGGAUCUCUUGGCUCUCGCAUCGAUGAAGAACGCAGCGAAAUGCGAUAAGUAGUGUGAAUUGCAGACUAGAGUGAAUCAUCGAAUUUUUGAACGCAUAUUGCGCUCUCUGGUAAUUCCGGGGAGCAUGCUUGGCUGAGGGCCUGUAAAACAAAUCUCCGGAGGGUAACCUUCUGGUGGUCGAUGGGUGUCAAUCCGAUGAAGACUCCUUUUUGGGGGAACGAAUCGGUCACCUGAAAUAAUUGGCUCCGCUGGAUCGCGGAUCGUGCAGUAAGGCAUAAUGGAAGAGCGGUAACACGCCUUCAAAAACGUCACACUUACACGAAAUGCGACAGAAGCGAGAAGCCAUGUUUUGGCAUUUUUUGCCAAAUGCGUCCAUGGCGCAAA
rnacentral:rRNA from 1 species